rnacentral:rRNA from 1 species
GACGAACGUUGGCGGCGUGCUUAACACAUGCAAGUCGAACGGAAAGGCCCUGCUUUUGUGGGGUGCUCGAGUGGCGAACGGGUGAGUAACACGUGAGUAACCUGCCCUUGACUUUGGGAUAACUUCAGGAAACUGGGGCUAAUACCGGAUAGGAGCUCCUGCUGCAUGGUGGGGGUUGGAAAGUUUCGGCGGUUGGGGAUGGACUCGCGGCUUAUCAGCUUGUUGGUGGGGUAGUGGCUUACCAAGGCUUUGACGGGUAGCCGGCCUGAGAGGGUGACCGGCCACAUUGGGGCUGAGAUACGGCCCAGACUCCUACGGGAGGCAGCAGUGGGGAAUAUUGCACAAUGGGCGGAAGCCUGAUGCAGCAACGCCGCGUGCGGGAUGACGGCCUUCGGGCUGUAAACCGCUUUCGCCUGUGACGAAGCGUGAGUGACGGUAAUGGGUAAAGAAGCACCGGCUAACUACGUGCCAGCAGCCGCGGUGAUACGUAGGGUGCGAGCGUUGUCCGGAUUUAUUGGGCGUAAAGGGCUCGUAGGUGGUUGAUCGCGUCGGAAGUGUAAUCUUGGGGCUUAACCCUGAGCGUGCUUUCGAUACGGGUUGACUUGAGGAAGGUAGGGGAGAAUGGAAUUCCUGGUGGAGCGGUGGAAUGCGCAGAUAUCAGGAGGAACACCAGUGGCGAUGGCGGUUCUCUGGGCCUUUCCUGACGCUGAGGAGCGAAAGCGUGGGGAGCGAACAGGCUUAGAUACCCUGGUAGUCCACGCUGUAAACGGUGGGUACUAGGUGUGGGGUCCAUUCCACGGGUUCCGUGCCGUAGCUAACGCUUUAAGUACCCCGCCUGGGGAGUACGGCCGCAAGGCUAAAACUCAAAGGAAUUGACGGGGCCCCGCACAAGCGGCGGAGCAUGCGGAUUAAUUCGAUGCAACGCGUAGAACCUUACCUGGGUUUGACAUGGAUCGGGAGUGCUCAGAGAUGGGUGUGCCUCUUUUGGGGUCGGUUCACAGGUGGUGCAUGCCUGUCGUCAGCUCGUGUCGUGAGAUGUUGGGUUAAGUCCCGCAACGAGCGCAACCCUUGUUCACUGUUGCCAGCACGUUAUGGUGGGGACUCAGUGGAGACCGCCGGGGUCAACUCGGAGGAAGGUGGGGAUGACGUCAAGUCAUCAUGCCCCUUAUGUCCAGGGCUUCACGCAUGCUACAAUGGCUGGUACAGAGAGUGGCGAGCCUGUGAGGGUGAGCGAAUCUCGGAAAGCCGGUCUCAGUUCGGAUUGGGGUCUGCAACUCGACCUCAUGAAGUCGGAGUCGCUAGUAAUCGCAGAACAGCAACGCUGCGGUGAAUACGUUCCCGGG